GUGAACGCUGGCGGUAGGCCUAACACAUGCAAGUCGAACGGCAGCACAGUAAGAGCUUGCUCUUCCGGGUGGCGAGUGGCGGACGGGUGAGGAAUACAUCGGAAUCUACUUUUUCGUGGGGGAUAACGUAGGGAAACUUACGCUAAUACCGCAUACGACCUACGGGUGAAAGCAGGGGAUCUUCGGGCCUUGCGCGAUUGAAUGAGCCGAUGUCGGAUUAGCUAGUUGGCGGGGUAAAGGCCCACCAAGGCGACGAUCCGUAGCUGGUCUGAGAGGAUGAUCAGCCACACUGGAACUGAGACACGGUCCAGACUCCUACGGGAGGCAGCAGUGGGGAAUAUUGGACAAUGGGCGCAAGCCUGAUCCAGCCAUACCGCGUGGGUGAAGAAGGCCUUCGGGUUGUAAAGCCCUUUUGUUGGGAAAGAAAAGCAGCAGGUUAAUACCCCGCUGUUCUGACGGUACCCAAAGAAUAAGCACCGGCUAACUUCGUG
rnacentral:rRNA from 1 species